GUCCUUGUAGCAAAAUCGAUAAUGCAUUGGACUUCUCAUCCAAAGAUCGUGGGUUCGAAUCCCACCUGGGAUG